UGGGGAAUAUUGCACAAUGGGCGCAAGCCUGAUGCAGCAACGCCGCGUGAAGGAAGACGGUUUUCGGAUUGUAAACUUCUGUUCUUAGUGAAGAAGAAUGACGGUAGCUAAGGAGCAAGCCACGGCUAACUACGUGCCAGCAGCCGCGGUAAUACGUAGGUGGCAAGCGUUGUCCGGAAUUACUGGGUGUAAAGGGAGCGCAGGCGGGGAAGCAAGUCAGUUGUGAAAUCCGUGGGCUUAACCCGUGAACUGCAGUUGAAAACUGUUCUUCUUGAGUGAAGUAGAGGUUGGCGGAAUUCCGAGUGUAGCGGUGAAAUGCGUAGAUAUUCGGAGGAACACCGGUGGCGAAGGCGGCCAACUGGGCUUUUACUGACGCUGAGGCUCGAAAGUGUGGGGAGCAAACAGGAUUAGAUACCC
rnacentral:rRNA from 1 species